UGGGAUCCAUCCAAUAGCUGACUGUGAGCAUCCACUUCUGUGUUUGCUAGGCCCCGGCAUAAUCUCACAAGAGACAGCUCUAUCUGGGUCCUUUCAGCAAAAUCUUGCAUCUUUUUCAUUUUAACAUUUCUGAUCACCUCGUAAGAUUUUUAGCAUGACUACAGACUUAGCAAUCAAUGCUAAGAUCUCUUACAAUUAAGAAAGGUCUUCUCUCAUUCAUUAUGGAAUUAUCUUUUAAUACUACAUGUCUUCAUUGUAUUUGUAGUAACCAGUGUUCAAGCACUUUUCUGCACUGUAGCUUGUAGGCACUCAUUUUCACAAGACUCACUAGAUCCUCUUGGAACCCAAGGAAUUGUAUACCUGUAAUGUUUUUUUGAAAGAUAGAAGACAUAUUGUAAAUGUUCCAGAAAUUUCUGUACCAGAGAAAUUUGUUAUAAGUAUUUUAUUUGUAUUUCUUUCUCUGUGGCACACUUGAUAAUAUUUCAAGGUCCAUGGAGAUUCUGAGGAACAUAGAUUGUAAGAUCUCUAAUACGGUCUAGGACAAAUGUAGUGGGUUUCCCUUCCUUGCCAAGUCUUUUAAAUUAUGUUUGAACCAAAAUUAUAAUGCUGUCUAAUGUGAUUUUUUUUUUUUAGUACAGGUAAAAGAAAUAUUUAAGCCAGUUGAUCUAUAAAUGGAAUAGGGCAUAAGACCUUAGGGGCAGUUGGACACUGUAAUAGAAGUAAUAGAAGGAUGGUGUUGAUAAACCUGAUAACUAGGACAGUGAUCAAAAAAGGAAAAGGACCCAAGCAUACUCUAGGUACUGCAGUAGAAUUUUUUUAAAUGUUUAAGUAAUCCUUGGAAGGCACAAGAAAGAAAUAGGAAUGAUAACCAAAAUAUAUACAAAAAUCUGAAAAUAGUAUGGACACCUUAGUGACAUGUGUGUGUAUAUAUCAGCUGAGAAACAGUAGAUUUUUAAAACACAGUCCAAUACUAUGUUGUCCAGAAGGAAUUAUGUGCAUGCCUAUGUGAGAUGGUGGAAAGUAGUGUCAUACAUCAGAAGAAAUCGGGAGUGGCUGUGUAUGUUAGGCAGAUGAGGAUAGUUUUAGAACAUUUCCAUACUAUCAAGACAUUAGUAAACACAUACAUAUCAACUAACAGCUGUAAAGUGCGUGAAGGAAUAGCUUCUUUAGAAAAUACAUACGAACUAAUUUUUUUCUAGUUGUAGUUAGAGAUUUCAGUAUCCUACUCCUUUGCCAAUUCAUAGGUAAAACAACUAUACAGAAUGGCAAAGAAGUUACAGAAGAAUCCAACAGCACCAUGAUUUGAUUGACAUCAAAUGUUCCAUCCACCUGCAAAGUACACAUUUAAAUGCCCAUAAAAUAUAGUCCAGAUAGGCCAAAGCUUGGGCUGUAAAAGUACUCUUAAAUUUUUUAAUCAUAUUAUGUGAUUUCCAACACAGUGAAGUUGGCAUAGAUACUACUAGCAAAAAAAUAGGAAAAUAACCAAAUAAUUGGAAUCUCAUGUGAAAGAAAUGAAGAGACUAAAGGCUAAAAGAACAUUUACAUAUCAUAUACCAGACAAAGGAAUAUCUAAAACAUAUACAAAAUUUUAAAGCAUCGAGUUUUGGGUUUUUUUUUUGGGGGGGGGGGGUUGGUUGGUUUGUUUUUUUUUAAUUUCACAAUCCAUUUAGAAAAUUAGCAAAAGGCCAGGCAUUGGUGGCAUACACCUUUAAUUCCAGCGCUUGGGAGGCAGAGAUAUCUCUGAGUUCAAGGACAGCCUGUUCUACAAAAUAAGUUCCAGGACAGCCAGGGCUACACUAUAAAACCUUGCCUCAAAAAAGAAAAGG
rnacentral:lncRNA from 1 species